UUUAGUAUCGGCGUAUAUGUAAAUUCAAAACUUUAAAGCCGUCUUUCUCGAGUUUUGAUUUUUUGAGUUAUGACAUUAUUGUAGUAAAUGAGCGGACAUGUAUAUACCUGUAAGCUACCGGCCAAACCCGAUCUUAGAAUAAACUAUUUUUGUAACUCUCAUCAUCAGUCCAACUGAAGCUACGCAGUCCACAAGAUUUGGUUUCGGUUGGACAUCGCAUUAGGUAGAACAAGUUUAGCCUGGGCAAAACUAGUUUGACCUAAGAUCGGAUUUUACCGGAACAUAUACAUACAUGCAUCGGCACAUGUAACUUACCCAGUCUUUAUUUUACCUGCCACAAAAAAAUGGUAAUGAAGCAAAAUUGUGUAGAUAGAGGAUUUUGCUUUUGUAACAAAAUGUUAUUGCAGAUAGUGGAUUUUUCAAAAUGAGAAUAUAAUACCAUAAAAGCAAAAUUUUAAGUUUGGCAUUAUUGUCAUGGUUGAAGGAUAAAUAAGAGCUCACGUUACCAUCAAAAACUCAUUUUCAUCAAAAUUGUAGUUAGAGGGUAUUGAAUAUAAGCCCUCGAUAUUCAAUUUGAAAUAAAAU